rnacentral:rRNA from 1 species
GACGAACGCUGGCGGCGUGCUUAACACAUGCAAGUCGAACGGUGAAGGGACCGGUUUUUGCUGGUUCUGGAUGAGUGGCGAACGGGUGAGUAACACGUGAGUAACCUGCCCCCUUCUUCUGGAUAACCGCAUGAAAGUGUGGCUAAUACGGGAUAUUCUGCGCCUGCUGCAUGGUGGGUGUGGGAAAGAUAUUGUUUCGGUGGGGGAUGGGCUCGCGGCCUAUCAGCUUGUUGGUGGGGUGAUGGCCUACCAAGGCGGUGACGGGUAGCCGGCCUGAGAGGGUGGACGGUCACACAGGGACUGAGACACGGCCCAGACUCCUACGGGAGGCAGCAGUGGGGAAUAUGGCACAAUGGGCGCAAGCCUGAUGCAGCGACGCCGCGUGAGGGAUGGAGGCCUUCGGGUUGUAAACCUCUUUCGCCAGUGAAGCAGGCCUGUCCCUUUUGUGGGUGGGUUGACGGUAGCUGGAUAAGAAGCGCCGGCUAACUACGUG